rnacentral:rRNA from 1 species
GAUGAACGCUAGCGAUAGGCUUAACACAUGCAAGUCGAGGGGCAGCACAAGGUAGCUUGCUAUCUGGGUGGCGACCGGCGCACGGGUGCGUAACGCGUAUGCAACUUGCCCUAUACAGGAGGAUAACCCGUCGAAAGACGGACUAAUACUGCGUAUGCUCACAACUUGGCAUCAAGUGGUGAGGAAAGAAAUUCGGUAUAGGAUAGGCAUGCGUCCCAUUAGCUUGUUGGUGAGGUAACGGCUCACCAAGGCAACGAUGGGUAGGGGAACUGAGAGGUUUAGCCCCCACACUGGUACUGAGACACGGACCAGACUCCUACGGGAGGCAGCAGUGAGGAAUAUUGGUCAAUGGGCGCGAGCCUGAACCAGCCAAGUCGCGUGAAGGAUGACUGUCUUAUGGAUUGUAAACUUCUUUUAUACGGGAAUAACAAGAGUCACGGGUGACUCCCUGCAUGUACCGGAUGAAUAAGCAUCGGCUAACUCCGUG